rnacentral:rRNA from 1 species
UGGGGAAUUUGGACAAUGGGCGAAAGCCUGAUCCAGCAAUGCCGCGUGUGUGAAGAAGGCCUUCGGGUUGUAAAGCACUUUUGUCCGGAAAGAAAUCCUUGGCUCUAAUACAGUCGGGGGAUGACGGUACCGGAAGAAUAAGCACCGGCUAACUACGUGCCAGCAGCCGCGGUAAUACGUAGGGUGCAAGCGUUAAUCGGAAUUACUGGGCGUAAAGCGUGCGCAGGCGGUUUGCUAAGACCGAUGUGAAAUCCCCGGGCUCAACCUGGGAACUGCAUUGGUGACUGGCAGGCUAGAGUAUGGCAGAGGGGGGUAGAAUUCCACGUGUAGCAGUGAAAUGCGUAGAGAUGUGGAGGAAUACCGAUGGCGAAGGCAGCCCCCUGGGCCAAUACUGACGCUCAUGCACGAAAGCGUGGGGAGCAAAACAGGAUUAGAUACCCUGGUAGUCCACGCCCUAAAACGAUGUCAACUAGUUGUUGGGGAUUCAUUUCCUUAGUAACGUAGCUAACGCGUGAAGUUGACCGCCUGGGGAGUACGGUCGCAAGAUUAAAACUCAAAUGAAUUGACGGGGUCAUAGCUG